rnacentral:rRNA from 1 species
UAAAUUAUUGUUUUUGUUUAAAAUUUAAAAAUAAAUUAUUAGAAAAUUAGGAUUUUCGAAAUCACGUACCAGAAGACUCGGCUAUGCGUGUUUAGCUUUAACUAAUUAUAUUAAAAAAUUAUUUUUAGAAAAUAAAAUUUAUGUUAUAAAUGGUGGAAUAUAUUGAUUUUUUAGUUAAAUAAAAAUAAUAUAAAAUUAAUAAUUGACUUGGUUUAGUAUCCAAUUAAAUUAAUUUAAAUUUAAUCUAAAGUAAAGUAAAUGAAAUAGAAUAAAUUUGUCGGGAAUAAUAUUUUUUUUUGGGAUUUGAUGGUUAAUUGGAAGUAACACCUUUUAACUAAGUUUAUUGUUUUUUGAAUGUCUCUAGAUUUAAUUUUAUAUUAAAAAUAAUUUUUUAAGAUUGAGGUAAAUACUAAAAAUAUAAUUUAGUCUAAAUUUAAUCACAUUUUUAUAAAAAUUGAAUAUUUUUUUAGUUAAAAUAGAAAUUGGAAAAAAAAGUAAUUAAUCUUUUUUUUAUUUUAAUGAAUUUAAUCUUUAUUCAGUACUAAUUGUCCAUCAUUACUUUUAGUAAAAGUUGUAGCAUAGUAGAUUUAUAGGAAUUUGAAUCUAU